AUUGAACGCUGGCGGCAUGCUUUACACAUGCAAGUCGAACGGUAACAGGGUGCUUGCACCGCUGACGAGUGGCGAACGGGUGAGUAAUGCAUCGGAAUGUACCGUGUAAUGGGGGAUAGCUCGGCGAAAGCCGGAUUAAUACCGCAUACGCCCUGAGGGGGAAAGUGGGGGACCGAAAGGCCUCACGUUAUACGAGCAGCCGAUGUCUGAUUAGCUAGUUGGUGAGGUAAAGGCUCACCAAGGCGUCGAUCAGUAGCGGGUCUGAGAGGAUGAUCCGCCACACUGGAACUGAGACACGGCCCAGACUCCUACGGGAGGCAGCAGUGGGGAAUUUUGGACAAUGGGCGCAAGCCUGAUCCAGCCAUGCCGCGUGUCUGAAGAAGGCCUUCGGGUUGUAAAGGACUUUUGUCCGGGAGCAAAUCCUAGUGGUUAAUAACCGCUGGGUCUGAGAGUACCGGAAGAAUAAGCACCGGCUAACUACGUG
rnacentral:rRNA from 1 species